CAUUUUUCCAGCCAUACAAAUGUUUUCUGAUCAUAUCUGGACAUAGAAAGUGUAAAUUUUCCUGAACGUUAUCUAAUGCACUAGAUCAUGCUAGGGAACGAGCUUCCGCCACAUCUUUCAGGUUUGUGCCUGUCGGCUGAAGUUCCUUGUGAUGGUGCAGCUGCAGGUGCAUGAGUAAGAUAUCAGAGCUCUGAGCGAAAUACAGGUCGGGUCUCGUCCCAGGACAGACUGUAGUGCCUCAAGGCCCAGAAAAGAGCAGGAACACGAUGUCCCCAAUAUCCCAAGGAGAAAGAAUGCCUCCAGUGCUGGACUGAAAAUGUAGGGGACAUUUCCCAUGACACAAUUCCAGCUAUUUCCUGGAGCUCUGAUGCUCUAUACACAAACGGACCCUGAGGAACGCCAAACAGCAGGCACCACAGCAAUAUCAGACUGUUCUAGUGUAACAGAGGUCA